AGAGUUUGAUCCUGGCUCAGAAUAAAUGCUAUCGGUAUGCUUAACACAUGCAAGUUAAAUGUAUUUAAAACAUAGCGGACGGGUGAGUAACACGUGAAUUAUCUACCUUUUAAUUCAGAAUAAUUAUUUUUAUAAAAAUACUGAAUAAAUAAAUUAAAGUUUUUAACGUUAAAAGAUGAGUUUGCGUAAGAUUAUGGUAGUUGGUAGUUUAAAAGACCUACCAAGCCUUUUAUCUUUAGCUGGUUUGAAAGAACGAUCAGCCACAUUGGAACUGAGACACGGCCCAAACUUUUUUAAAGGCAGCAGUGGGGAAUUUUGGACAAUGAGCGAAAGCUUGAUCCAGUAAUACCGAGUGAGUGAAGAAGGCUAAUUAGGUUGUAAAGCUCUUUCAUUAAGGAGGAAAAUGACAGUACUUAAAAAAGAAGUUCCGGCUAAUACCCGUGCCAGCAGCCGCGGUAAUACGGGAGGAGCGAGCAUUAUUCGGAAUGAUUAGGCGUAAAGAGUUUGUAGGUGGUUUUUUAAGUUGAAAGAAACAAAUUAAAGCUCAACUUUAUACAUUUUUUCAAAACUGAUAAACUAGAGUAUAAAUAGAGGAUAAUGGAAUUUCUAUUGGAGUGAUAAAAUACGUUGAUAAUAGAAGGAAGGCCUAUGGCGAAGGCAAUUAUCUGGGUAUAUACUGACACUGAGAAACGAAAGCUUGGGUAGCGAACGGGAUUAGAUACCCCGGUAGUCCAUGCCGUAAACGAUGAGUGCUAAUAUUUAGAAUUUUUAGAUAUAACAGCUAACGCGUUAAGCACUCCGCCUGAAAAGUAUAAUCGCAAGAUUGAAAUUCAAAGGAAUUGACGGGAGUCUACACAAGCGGUGGAGCAUGUGGUUUAAUUCGAUAAUACGCGCAAAACCUUACCAACUCUUGCUAAUUUUUAUAUAAAAUUUUAUAUAAAAAACAGGUGUUGCAUGGCUGUCGUCAGCUCGUGUUGUGAAAUGUUUGGUUAAAUCCUUUAACGAGCGCAACCCCUAUUGUUAGUUGCUAAUUUAUUAAAAUAAAAUAAAAGAACUUUAACAAAAAGAUUAAUGAUAGGUUAAUGGAAGAUGGGGAUGACGUCAAGUCUUUAUGGCCCUUAUGAGUUGGGCUACACACGUGCUACAAUGAUAAUCACAAUGAGAAGCAAUAAUGUUAAGUUG
rnacentral:rRNA from 1 species